CGGUUACUGGCCCAACACUCUAACCACUAGGCUACCUGCCGACCUGUCUAUAAGGUUAGGGAUAGGUAGUGUAUAUGGUUAAUGACAGCAGUAUGUAUAAUCAGGCUACCUGCCCACCUGUCUAUAAGGUUAGGGAUAGGUAGUGUAUAUGGUUAAUGACAGCAGUAUGUAUAAUCAGGCUACCUGCCCACCUGUCUAUAAGGUUAGGGAUAGGUAGUGUAUAUGGUUAAUGACAGCAGUAUGUAUAAUCAGGCUACCUGCCCACCUGUCUAUAAGGUUAGGGAUAGGUAGUGUAUAUGAGGGCAGCAGUAUGUAUAAUCAGGCUACCUGCCCACCUGUCUAUAAGGUUAGGGAUAGGUAGUGUAUAUGGUUAAUGGCAGCAGGUUGUAUAAUCAGGCUACCUGCCCACCUGUCUAUAAGGUUAGGGAUAGGUAGUGUAUAUGGUUAAUGACAGCAGGUUGUAUAAUCAGGCUACCUGCCCACCUGUCUAUAAGGUUAGGGAUAGGUAGUGUAUAUGGUUAAUGACAGCAGUAUGUAUAAUCAGGCUACCUGCCCACCUGUCUAUAAGGUUAGGGAUAGGUAGUGUAUAUGGUUAAUGACAGCAGGUUGUAUAAUCAGGCUGCCUGCCCACCUGUCUAUAAGGUUAGGGAUAGGUAGUGUAUAUGGUUAAUGACAGCAGUAUGUAUAAUCAGGCUACCUGCCGACCUGUCUAUAAGGUUAGGGAUAGGUAGUGUAUAUGGUUAAUGACAGCAGUAUGUAUAAUCAGGCUACCUGCCCACCUGUCUAUAAGGUUAGGGAUAGGUAGUGUAUAUGGUUAAUGACAGCAGGUUGUAUAAUCAGGCUACCUGCCCACCUGUCUAUAAGGUUAGGGAUAGGUAGUGUAUAUGGUUAAUGACAGCAGUAUGUAUAAUCAGGCUACCUGCCCACCUGUCUAUAAGGUUAGGGAUAGGUAGUGUAUAUGGUUAAUGACAGCAGGUUGUAUAAUCAGGCUACCUGCCCACCUGUCUAUAAGGUUAGGGAUAGGUAGUGUAUAUGGUUAAUGACAGCAGUAUGUAUAAUCAGGCUACCUGCCGACCUGUCUAUAAGGUUAGGGAUAGGUAGUGUAUAUGGUUAAUGACAGCAGUAUGUAUAAUCAGGCUACCUGCCCACCUGUCUAUAAGGUUAGGGAUAGGUAGUGUAUAUGGUUAAUGACAGCAGGUUGUAUAAUCAGGCUACCUGCCCACCUGUCUAUAAGGUUAGGGAUAGGUAGUGUAUAUGGUUAAUGACAGCAGUAUGUAUAAUCAGGCUACCUGCCCACCUGUCUAUAAGGUUAGGGAUAGGUAGUGUAUAUGAGGGCAGCAGUAUGUAUAAUCAGGCUACCUGCCCACCUGUCUAUAAGGUUAGGGAUAGGUAGUGUAUAUGGUUAAUGACAGCAGUAUGUAUAAUCAGGCUACCUGCCCACCUGUCUAUAAGGUUAGGGAUAGGUAGUGUAUAUGGUUAAUGACAGCAGUAUGUAUAAUCAGGCUACCUGCCCACCUGUCUAUAAGGUUAGGGAUAGGUAGUGUAUAUGGUUAAUGACAGCAGUAUGUAUAAUCAGGCUACCUGCCGACCUGUCUAUAAGGUUAGGGAUAGGUAGUGUAUAUGGUUAAUGACAGCAGUAUGUAUAAUCAGGCUACCUGCCCACCUGUCUAUAAGGUUAGGGAUAGGUAGUGUAUAUGGUUAAUGACAGCAGUAUGUAUAAUCAGGCUACCUGCCCACCUGUCUAUAAGGUUAGGGAUAGGUAGUGUAUAUGGUUAAUGACAGCAGUAUGUAUAAUCAGGCUACCUGCCCACCUGUCUAUAAGGUUAGGGAUAGGUAGUGUAUAUGGUUAAUGACAGCAGUAUGUAUAAUCAGGCUACCUGCCCACCUGUCUAUAAGGUUAGGGAUAGGUAGUGUAUAUGGUUAAUGACAGCAGUAUGUAUAAUCAGGCUACCUGCCCACCUGUCUAUAAGGUUAGGGAUAGGUAGUGUAUAUGGUUAAUGACAGCAGUAUGUAUAAUCAGGCUACCUGCCCACCUGUCUAUAAGGUUAGGGAUAGGUAGUGUAUAUGGUUAAUGACAGCAGUAUGUAUAAUCAGGCUACCUGCCCACUUGUCUAUAAGGUUAGGG